UACGAAGGUCCCAAGCGUUAUCCGGAUUUAUUGGGUUUAAAGGGUGCGUAGGCGGGCUAUUAAGUCAGUGGUGAAAGCCCCAAGCUUAACUUGGGAACUGCCAUUGAUACUGAUGGUCUUGAGUACAUUUGAGGUGGGCGGAAUGUGUCAUGUAGCGGUGAAAUGCUUAGAUAUGACACAGAACACCGAUUGCGAAGGCAGCUCACUAACUGUAACUGACGCUGAGGCACGAAAGCGUGGGGAGCAAACAGG
rnacentral:rRNA from 1 species